rnacentral:rRNA from 1 species
CCUACGGGUGGCAGCAGUGGGGAAUAUUGCACAAUGGGGGAAACCCUGAUGCAGCGACGCCGCGUGAAGGAAGAAGUAUUUCGGUAUGUAAACUUCUAUCAGCAGGGAAGAAAAUGACGGUACCUGACUAAGAAGCCCCGGCUAACUACGUGCCAGCAGCCGCGGUAAUACGUAGGGGGCAAGCGUUAUCCGGAUUUACUGGGUGUAAAGGGAGCGUAGGCGGUUCAGCAAGUCAGAAGGGAAAGCCCGGGGCUCAACUCCGGGACUGCUUUUGAAACUGUUGAACUAGAGUGCAGGAGAGGUAAGUGGAAUUCGUAGUGUAGCGGUGAAAUGCGUAGAUAUUAGGAGGAACGCCAGUGGCGAAGGCGGCUUACUGGACUGUAAAUGACGCUGAGGCUCGAAAGCGUGGGGAGCAAACAGGAUUAGAUACCCUGGUAGUC